CAAUCAAACCGGGAGAUAGCUGGUUCUCCCCGAAAGCUAUUUAGGUAGCGCCUCGUGAAUUCAUCUCCGGGGGUAGAGCACUGUUUCGGCUAGGGGGCCAUCCCGGCUUACCAACCCGAUGCAAACUGCGAAUACCGGAGAAUGUUAUCACGGGAGACACACGGCGGGUGCUAACGUCCGUCGUGAAGAGGGAAACAACCCAGACCGCCAGCUAAGGUCCCAAAGUCAUGGUUAAGUGGGAAACGAUGUGGGAAGGCCCAGACAGCCAGGAUGUUGGCUUAGAAGCAGCCAUCAUUUAAAGAAAGCGUAAUAGCUCACUGGUCGAGUCGGCCUGCGCGGAAGAUGUAACGGGGCUAAACCAUGCACCGAAGCUGCGGCAGCGAACGUAUCACCCAAGACAACUUUACGGAGUUGACGAUUGACGGAGCGAAGCGACGUCAAAGCGUUCAUUAAAGUCGAGUUGGCUUAGGGAUACGUUCGUUGGGUAGGGGAGCGUUCUGUAAGCCUGUGAAGGUGUGUCGUGAGGCAUGCUGGAGGUAUCAGAAGUGCGAAUGCUGACAUAAGUAACGAUAAAGCGGGUGAAAAGCCCGCUCGCCGGAAGACCAAGGGUUCCUGUCCAACGUUAAUCGGGGCAGGGUGAGUCGACCCCUAAGGCGAGGCCGAAAGGCGUAGUCGAUGGGAAACGGGUUAAUAUUCCCGUACUUGGUGUUACUGCGAAGGGGGGACGGAGAAGGCUAUGUUGGCCGGGCGACGGUUGUCCCGGUUUAAGCGUGUAGGUGUGUGUUCCAGGUAAAUCCGGUUCACUUUAACACUGAGGCGUGACGACGAGGCACUACGGUGCUGAAGCAACAAAUGCCCUGCUUCCAGGAAAAGCCUCUAAGCAUCAGGUAACAUCAAAUCGUACCCCAAACCGACACAGGUGGUCAGGUAGAGAAUACCAAGGCGCUUGAGAGAACUCGGGUGAAGGAACUAGGCAAAAUGGUGCCGUAACUUCGGGAGAAGGCACGCUGACACGUAGGUGAAGUGAUUUACUCAUGGAGCUGAAGUCAGUCGAAGAUACCAGCUGGCUGCAACUGUUUAUUAAAAACACAGCACUGUGCAAACACGAAAGUGGACGUAUACGGUGUGACGCCUGCCCGGUGCCGGAAGGUUAAUUGAUGGGGUCAGCGCAAGCGAAGCUCCUGAUCGAAGCCCCGGUAAACGGCGGCCGUAACUAUAACGGUCCUAAGGUAGCGAAAUUCCUUGUCGGGUAAGUUCCGACCUGCACGAAUGGCGUAAUGAUGGCCAGGCUGUCUCCACCCGAGACUCAGUGAAAUUGAACUCGCUGUGAAGAUGCAGUGUACCCGCGGCAAGACGGAAAGACCCCGUGAACCUUUACUAUAGCUUGACACUGAACAUUGAGCCUUGAUGUGUAGGAUAGGUGGGAGGCUUUGAAGUGUGGACGCCAGUCUGCAUGGAGCCGACCUUGAAAUACCACCCUUUAAUGUUUGAUGUUCUAACGUGGACCCGUAAUCCGGGUUGCGGACAGUGUCUGGUGGGUAGUUUGACUGGGGCGGUCUCCUCCUAAAGAGUAACGGAGGAGCACGAAGGUUGGCUAAUCCUGGUCGGACAUCAGGAGGUUAGUGCAAUGGCAUAAGCCAGCUUGACUGCGAGCGUGACGGCGCGAGCAGGUGCGAAAGCAGGUCAUAGUGAUCCGGUGGUUCUGAAUGGAAGGGCCAUCGCUCAACGGAUAAAAGGUACUCCGGGGAUAACAGGCUGAUACCGCCCAAGAGUUCAUAUCGACGGCGGUGUUUGGCACCUCGAUGUCGGCUCAUCACAUCCUGGGGCUGAAGUAGGUCCCAAGGGUAUGGCUGUUCGCCAUUUAAAGUGGUACGCGAGCUGGGUUUAGAACGUCGUGAGACAGUUCGGUCCCUAUCUGCCGUGGGCGCUGGAGAACUGAGGGGGGCUGCUCCUAGUACGAGAGGACCGGAGUGGACGCAUCACUGGUGUUCGGGUUGUCAUGCCAAUGGCACUGCCCGGUAGCUAAAUGCGGAAGAGAUAAGUGCUGAAAGCAUCUAAGCACGAAACUUGCCCCGAGAUGAGUUCUCCCUGAGACUUAGAGUCUCCUGAAGGAACGUUGAAGACGACGACGUUGA
rnacentral:rRNA from 1 species